rnacentral:rRNA from 1 species
GCGAAUGGCUCAUUAAAUCAGUUAUCGUUUAUUUGAUAGUACCUUACUACAUGGAUACCUGUGGUAAUUCUAGAGCUAAUACAUGCUAAAAACCCCGACUUCAGGAAGGGGUGUAUUUAUUAGAUAAAAAACCAACGCCCUUCGGGGCUCCUUGGUGAAUCAUAAUAACUUAACGAAUCGCAUGGCCUUGCGCCGGCGAUGGUUCAUUCAAAUUUCUGCCCUAUCAACUUUCGAUGGUAGGAUAGUGGCCUACCAUGGUGGCAACGGGUAACGGGGAAUUAGGGUUCGAUUCCGGAGAGGGAGCCUGAGAAACGGCUACCACAUCCAAGGAAGGCAGCAGGCGCGCAAAUUACCCAAUCCCGAUACGGGGAGGUAGUGACAAUAAAUACUGAUACGGGGCUCUUUUGGGUCUCGUAAUUGGAAUGAGAACAAUUUAAAUCCCUUAACGAGGAACAAUUGGAGGGCAAGUCUGGUGCCAGCAGCCGCGGUAAUUCCAGCUCCAAUAGCGUAUAUUAAAGUUGUUGCAGUUAAAAAGCUCGUAGUUGAACCUUGGGCCUGGCUGGCCGGUCCGCCUCACCGCGAGUACUGGUCCGGCUGGGCCUUUCCUUCUGGGGAACCUCAUGGCCUUCACUGGCUGUGGGGGGAACCAGGACUUUUACUGUGAAAAAAUUAGAGUGUUCAAAGCAGGCCUUUGCUCGAAUACAUUAGCAUGGAAUAAUAGAAUAGGACGUGUGGUUCUAUUUUGUUGGUUUCUAGGACCGCCGUAAUGAUUAAUAGGGAUAGUCGGGGGCGUCAGUAUUCAGCUGUCAGAGGUGAAAUUCUUGGAUUUGCUGAAGACUAACUACUGCGAAAGCAUUCGCCAAGGAUGUUUUCAUUAAUCAGGGAACGAAAGUUAGGGGAUCGAAGACGAUCAGAUACCGUCGUAGUCUUAACCAUAAACUAUGCCGACUAGGGAUCGGACGGGAUUCUAUAAUGACCCGUUCGGCACCUUACGAGAAAUCA